AGAGCUUGCUUUCUCGAGCGAGUGGCGAACGGGUGAGUAACGCGUGAGGAACCUGCCUCAAAGAGGGGGACAACAGUUGGAAACGACUGCUAAUACCGCAUAAGCCCACGGAUUCGCAUGGAUCUGCGGGAAAAGGAUUUAUUCGCUUCAGGAUGGCCUCGCGUCUGAUUAGCUAGUUGGUGAGGUAACGGCCCACCAAGGCGACGAUCAGUAGCCGGACUGAGAGGUUGACCGGCCACAUUGGGACUGAGAUACGGCCCAGACUCC
rnacentral:rRNA from 1 species